rnacentral:rRNA from 1 species
UACAGAGGUGGCAAGCGUUGUUCGGAAUUACUGGGCGUAAAGGGCGCGUAGGCGGCUCGUCAAGUCCCGUGUGAAAGCCCCCGGCUCAACCGGGGAACUGCACGGGAAACUAGCAGGCUUGAGUUCGGGAGAGGGAAGCGGAAUUUCGGGUGUAGCGGUGAAAUGCGCAGAUAUCCGAAGGAACACCGGUGGCGAAGGCGGCUUCCUGGACCGACACUGACGCUGAGGCGCGAAAGCGAGGGGAGCAAACGGG